rnacentral:lncRNA from 10 species
GAAAACUUUUUUUUUUUUUUCCUGGAUCAGACAGAACCCACUGAACAGAGAUGAAAAUAUUCUCUUCAGAGUUUGGUUAAUUCACUAAGGAUUGGAAUAAGUCUUCAUAACUCUAAAUUUAAAAAAAUAUUCAGUGAGUUAGUAGAACAUCAUAGAAAGCAUGGAUAGCCAUGAAGCAGAAAGGAGCAGAAGCUAUUACAGAAGACGUUUGAUGACACUGAACAUUGGGAUGACAACAUAAGCAACCUGGUGUUAUUAUCUCAUAAUUGCAGGAGCAAGAAUUUGAAUCUGAGUUUCCUUAAAGGUAAAAGUUUUGCCUUUUUACUAUCCUGCUAUGAUUCCUGAAGAUCUGAAUUUUUAUGAAUGCUUUAUAGACCUCAGUCCGGGAAGUUCCCUAUGGUCGUGACUAAAUGAUUGUAGCUUAUAAGAGGCUAGGGUUUAGGCAAAAGC